rnacentral:tRNA from 1 species
GCGGCGGCGAAAGUCGAAGUGGUAUGAAAAUCCGUCGGGCUUUGCCCAUGCCGGUUCGACCCCGGCCGCCCGCACCA